CUGAACUCUGAGGAAGGUAGAUCUCCAGGAACAGGGCUGGUUACACCUGAUCUAGAGAAAUGAGCUAAAUUUUAAGCGUCGUUGCAAAGGGCUGAGCGUGUUCUGCUGGCGUUUGACGGGUCAUGGGAUGUUUGAGCAGUCUGCUGUGAAUUUCCAACAAACUGACUUGAUCUGGAAAGCCUCCGUCCAAUAUGGUCCAGAGUUUCCUCCCUUUGUUUACGGAGAUAAAUUGCUUGAUUUGGGAUUGUGGAGGGGUCGGCUCGUAAAAAAGAUGAAGCUUGCAAAUAGAUGUCAGCGGGCGUUACACGAAGCAAUCAAGGUGCAAUUGCAGAGCAUCUGAUAACGGCUGAGAGAGGGAUACGAAAUUUAUCCUCAUGCCAAAUCUAAAGGCUGAUUGCCUGAACAACAGCUACAUGAGAGACGCUUCACUUUCAAAUCUGUUGUGACAUGGAGAGAAAUGUCUCGUACUUCACUGACUUCAUUGGUAACUUCAUUGCAAACGCUGAUAUUGUGAGUUAUUUCUACUGGUAAAAAUGACUUUUAUUGGUGUAACCCAAUUCAGUCAUGUUGAGUUCAUCAUAUUAAAUGAUUAAUUUGAA